rnacentral:lncRNA from 1 species
UGCGGUUACAUGACGCUGGUAUCAGCUCAGGCCACUACAUUGCCAUUGAAAACUGGUUCAUCGAUUUAUAACAGAGCUCACCAUUUCCAGACCUGUUUCUUUUCUCAAGGGUACAAGGUCAACUCGAGCUUCGGCAGUGGCAGUCUGAGUGAGGUGCUGCGGUGGAGGUGGACAUGCUGAUGCUGGGCAUCCUCAGGACUUAAACAAGAUUUGUAUAAGCUUCUUCUACAUCAAUGUUAUAUUGCACAAUUUAAAGAGCUUUGAAAUGAUAUGAAAGUUGAAGUAUCAGCCAACUGGUUUGCUGACAAGAGCUGAAAGGCCUACUGUUCAUACUAAAUUAACCACUAAGGUAAAAAGUUAAUCAAGAAAAUUUCAUUUCGACAAUGUCAUGAAGAAAAGAAUUCAUUUUAGGCUUGAACAAACUGAGCUUUUCCAAGGGCUGAAUAGUGAUCUUAUAAAAAUGUACUCCUGAAUUUGCAAUGUAUAAUGAUACAUGAGUUUGAAGGCAGAGUACCCUGUGCCCUGUUUAGUGGGUAUGUGUAAAUAUGCAAGUAUCUAUGCAUAAAAAUUGUGAUUUCAGAAUUAAUACUAAUAACCUUAAAACGYUAUGACAGAAAUAUGUCUUAAAGCAGUAUGAAACUUCACAGUAGUGUCUUCAAAUGUGUACA